rnacentral:lncRNA from 1 species
CCAAGGUUCCAUUCCUUGGAAUCCGUGAGGCCAAGAACCCCAGGUCAGAGAACAAAAGGCUUGCUGCCAUCUUGGGAGCAGCCCGCCCCAUCUUGGGAGUGGCCUGCCACCAUCUUGGGAACUCUAAGAACAAAGACCCGCCGGUAACAUUUGGUGGCCCGUACGGCGCUUCUCCAAAGCGAUACAUCCUGGGAAGGACCCUACCCAGUCAUUUUAUCUACCCCAACCAUGGUUAAAGUGGCUGGAGUGGAGUCUUGGAUACAUCACGCUCAAGUCAAACCCUGGAUACUGCCAAAGGAGCCCGAAAAUCCAGGAGACAAUGCUGGGUAUUCCUGUGAACCUCUAGAGGAUCUGCACCUGCUCUUCAAGCGACAACCAUGAGGAAAGUAACUAGAAUCGUGGAUCCCCAUGGCCCUCCUUUGUCACAUUUUUCUUUUUACUGUUCUCUUACCCCCUUUCACUCUCACUUCACUUCCUCCAUGCUGCUGUACUACCAGUAGCUCCUCUUACCAAGAGGUUCUAUGGAGAAUGUGGCUUCCCAGAAAUAUUGAUGUCCCAUCGUAUAGGGGUUUUUCUAAAGGAGACCCCACUUUCACCACCCACAACCAUAUACCCCUGCACUUCAGGCCAUACAUUUCAAUCCCUGUAUCUUUAACCUCCUUGUUAAGUAUGUCUCUUCCAGAAUCGAAGUUGUAAAACUACAAAUGGUUCUUCAAAUGGAGCCCCAGAUGCAGUCCAUGACUAAGAUCUACUGCAGACCCCUGGACCAGCCUGCUAGCCCAUGCUCUGAUGUUAAUGACAUCAAAGGCACCCCUCCUGAGGAAAUCUCAACUGCACGACCCCUACUACGCCCCAAUUCAGCAGGAAGCAGUUAAGAGCGGUCGUUGGCCAACCUCCCCAACAUCACUUGAGUUUUCCUGUUGAGAGUGGGGACUGAGAGGCAGUACUAGCUGGAUUUCCUAGGCUGACUAAGAAUUCCUAAGCCUAGCUGGGGAAGGGGACCGCACCUACCUUUAAACACGGGGCUUGUAACUCACCUCACACCCAACCAAUUAGGUAGUAAAGAGGACUCACUAAAAUACCAAUUAGGCUAAAAGCAGGAGGUAAAGAAAUAGUCAAAUCAUAUAUUGCCUGAGAGCGUGGGGGAGGGACAAUAUUCGGGAUAUAAACCCUAGGCAUUCGAGACGGGAGUGGGCAACCCCCUUUGGGUCCCCUCCCAUUGUAUGGGAGCUCUGUUUUCACUCUACUAAAUCUUGCAGCUGCACACUCUUCUGGUCCGUGUUUGUUACGGCUCAAGCUGAGCUUUCGCUUGCCGUCCACCACUGCCAUUUGCAGACCCGCCACUGACUUCCACCCCUCCGGAUCCAGCAGGGUGUCCGCUGUGCUCCUGAUCCAGCGAGGCGCCCUUUGCCGCUCUGGAUCCAGCUAGAGGCUUGUCAUUGUUCCCACAUGGCUAAGUGCUCGGGUUCGUCCUAAUUGAGCUGAACACUAGUCACUGGGUUCCACAGUUCUCUUCCAUGACCCACGGCUUCUAAUAGAGCUAUAGCACUCACCACAGGGCCCAAGGUUCCAUUCCUUGGAAUCCGUGAGGCCAAGAACCCCAGGUCAGAGAACAAAAGUCUUGCCGCCAUCUUGGGAGCAGCCCACCCCAUCUUGGGAGUGGCCUGCCACCAUCUUGGGAGCUCUAAGAACAAAGACCUGCUGGUAACAGCUGGAUAAGCCCAACUGCUUUGUAGCUGCCUGUGUGUGGCAAACAACUAACACUCCUUAGGCCUCAAUUUUUUAAUUUAUAAAAUGAAAGCAGUAAAUAUCACAUCAUAUAAGUUGUUGAGUAUUUAUGAGAAUUAAAAGGAAUAAUCGCCAUAAAAGGCCUGAUACUGGCAAUAAUAUAUUUGACAAAUAUGAGUUUCUCUUUUUCCCUUUAUUCUACUUUACGGCAACUCCUACCUCCUAUUCUCUUUCUUUUGCUACUAAGCAGACAUCUGGGUUUGUUUGUUUGUUUCAUCAGGGAGAGGUUCUAAACGUUGUAUCCUUUAACCCUCAAAGCAUCAUCUAUUCUCUUAGAGGGUAAAGGGCAGAGAUGUUAUCCCUGUUGGUUUCUAACCUUGGAGAAGGUCAGAAAUGUCACGAGCUCUCUAUAGAUCCUCUUAUCAGCUUCUCUUACACAAUCCUUUGGUUCUGUGUGUGGUGAAAACUGGAUUGGGGGAAAAUCAGAUCAGUAGAAACCAAAUGUUGAAGCAACUGGUGAAUAGAGAAAUACAGAUUGCGUAUCCCUACAAUGGAAUGUUAUUCAGCAAUAGAAAGAAAUGAAGUAUGCACCCAUGCAUGGAAUGAUGCACGGAUGUUUACUACAGCAUAGAAGGACCUUGAAAACACAGGGCUAAGUGAGAGGAGCCGGACAGGAAGGAUCAUGUAUUGUAUGGUCUGCUCAUGUAUGAUCUGCUCACAUAUUGUGUGAUCUGCUUACAUGAAAUGCCCAAGGUAGGCAAAUCCACAGUCAGGAAAUAGAUUGGUGGUGGCCAGGGGCAGGGACUUUUGGGGGAAAAUAGGGAGUGACUGUUAACAGGGACCUGCUUUCUUCUGGGGUAAUGAAAAUGGUCAAACAUUGAUUGUAGUGAGGGUUGUGCGGCUCUGUGAAUAUGCAAAAAACCCAUUGAAUUGGACACUUUAAAUGGGUGCAAAUUAUAUUCCAAUAAAUUAUUUGUAGAAACUAAAAAAAAAAAAAAAGAAAAUUGGGGUACUGAGGUUUUUUCUCCUUCUUUCUUUGUAACUAAAAAUCAGCACCAGUAUUGGUUAGAAAAAAAAUACAAUGUUCAUAGUUGCAUUUUCUUACCUUUUAUGACAUUUACAAAGCCCUCUCUCACAUAUGUUUUAAAUUCAUUGUCACUCUCUUAACAUUUACAAAGAGAUAUGGCAAAUGUUAUCAUCAUGUGGAUUUUGGAAGCAAAGAUGCUAAUUGGCUGUGACACAGACAAUAAAUGGCAGAGCCAGGACCAAAACUCUUGCUAGUUACUCUCCACCCACAAUGCCUGGCUGGUACAUUCCUCAGGCUGGUUUUUGUUGGUUGGUUGGUUGGUGUUCUGAUUUUUGUUUUUUCCCCAGGACUACCAUAAGUCAUUACUCUCUACUGAUUUUCAGCAGUUUUAAAAGAGUACAAACGACUAAAAGAGGCAAAACAGCCGAAAAUUAUUGUCUGCAGGAAAAAUUAGAAUCUCCAAGCACUGGAUCUGCUUUCAAAUAGCAGACCAGAAUCACUGUUACCAAAUGAAACAUUUAAAACUUAAGAGGAAAGUGGAAUAUAGAGGAAGUAAAUAGGAGAAGAGCUACAAAGAAAAGCAAAAACUGAAAAAAAGGUUUUCAAAUUAUGCUUCAAGGAAUCUCAUUGGCAAUACAGGAAGGCCUAUAAUCCCAGCACUUUGGGAGGGUGAGGUGGGC